GACGAACGCUGGCGGCGUGCUUAACACAUGCAAGUCGAACGGAAAGGCCUGCUUUCCCUUGUGGAUUGCGGGUACUCGAGUGGCGAACGGGUGAGUAACACGUGAGUGAUCUGCCCCCAACUUGGGUAUAAGCCUGGGAAACUGGGUCUAAUUCCCGAUAGGACUGCAGGGUGGUGCCUGUGGUGGAAAACGAUUUUCUAGUGGUUGGGGAUGAGCUCGCGGCCUAUCAGCUUGUUGGUGGGGUAAUGGCCUACCAAGGCGGCGACGGGUAGCCGGCCUGAGAGGGUGGACGGCAACAUUGGGACUGAGAUACGGCCCAGACUCCGACGGGAGGCAGCAGUGGGGAAUAUUGCACAAUGGGCGGAAGCCUGAGGCAGCGACGCCGCGUGGGGGAUGACGGCCUUCGGGUUGUAAACUCCUUUCGACCGCGAGGAAGCCACCUGGUUGGAAGGGUGGUGACGGUAGUGGUAGAAGAAGCACCGGCUAACUACGUG
rnacentral:rRNA from 1 species